rnacentral:rRNA from 1 species
UACGAAGGGUGCAAACGUUGCUCGGAAUCAUUGGGCGUACAGCGCACGUAGGCGGCCUGUUAAGUCGGAUGUGAAAUCCCUCGGCUCAACCGAGGACGUGCACCCGAAACUGACAGGCUCGAGUAUGGAAGAGGGUCGCAGAAUUCCCGGUGUAGAGGUGAAAUUCGUAGAUAUCGGGAGGAAUACCAGUGGCGAAGGCGGCGACCUGGGCCAAUACUGACGCUGAGGUGCGAAAGCGUGGGGAGCAAACAGG